rnacentral:rRNA from 1 species
AUUGGGUUUUUAAAACCUAAAGGCAUAAUUAACUUAACUGUUAAUUUUAAUGGGAUUAAAAUAUAUAUAAUUUUUUUAUAUAUAUAUUCCAUCCCGGGGCGUUCUAUAUAGUUAUGCAUUUUAAUAUAUUUUAUAUAUUAUAUAUGCCUCUAACUAGAGCGUACCUUGAGCAUAUAUGCUGUGACCCGAAAGAUGGUGAACUAUACCUGAUCAGGUUGAAGUCAGGGGAAACCCUGAUGGAAGACCGAAACAGUUCUGACGUGCAAAUCGAUUGUCAGAAUUGGGUAUAGGGGCGAAAGACCAAUCGAACCAUCUAGUAGCUGGUUCCCUCCGAAGUUUCCCUCAGGAUAGCUGGUGCAUUUAAAUUUUAUAUAAAAUAAUCUUAUCUGGUAAAGCGAAUGAUUAGAGGCCUUAGGGCCGAAACGACCUUAACCUAUUCUCAAAACUUUAAAUGGGUAAGAACCUCACCUUUCUUGAAAUGAAGGUCGAGGUUAUGAUAUAUUGUGCCCAGUGGGCCACUUUUGGUAAGCAGAACUGGCGCUGUGGGAUGAACCAAACGUGAUGUUACGGCGCCCAAAUUAACAACUCAUACUGAUACCAUGAAAGGCGUUGCUUGCUUAUAACAGCAGGACGGUGGACAUGGAAGUCGUAAUCCGCUAAGGAGUGUGUAACAACUCACCUGCCGAAGCAACUAGCCCUUAAAAUGGAUGGCGCUCAAGUUGUAUGCCUAUACAUCACCGUUAAAAUAUAUGAUUUAUAAAAAAAAAUAAAAAAUUUUAUAAAUUUUGAAAUUUUAAUGAGUAGGAGGGUACAAUGGUGUGCGUCGAAGUGUUUGGCGUAAGCCUGCAUGGAGCCGCCAUUGGUACAGAUCUUGGUGGUAGUAGCAAAUAAUCGAAUGAGACCUUGGAGGACUGAAGUGGAGAAGGGUUUCGUGUGAACAGUGGUUGAUCACGAGUUAGUCGGUCCUAAGUUCAAGGCGAAAGCCGAAAAAUUUUUAAGUUUAAAUUGUAUUAAAUUAAUAAAUUUAAUAUACUUAAAAUUUUGAACGAAAGGGAAUACGGUUCCAAUUCCGUAACCUGUUGAGUAUACGUUUGUUAUUAAAAAUGGGCUUUUAUGCUCAUCCUGGUAACAGAAACAACCAUAAAGAAGCCGUCGAGAAAUAUCGAAAGAGUUUUCUUUUCUGUUUCAUAGUCGUACUACCAUGGAAGUCUUUCGAAGAGAGAUAUGGUAGAUGGACUAGAAGAGCAUGGCAUUUACUGCUGUGUCGAUAUUUUCUCCUCGGACCUUGAAAAUUUAUGGUAGGGAUACGCAAACUUCUUAACAGGCCGUACCGAUAUCCGCAGCUGGUCUCCAAGGUGAAGAGCCCUCUAGUCGAUAGAAUA